rnacentral:lncRNA from 1 species
UACCUCAGGGGAAGCGAAAUGGCAACAAAGUCACCACACGGCUUUGUUAGCAAAUACUUUUGGAGUAUUCACAGGACAUACUGCCGAAGAUUUGAAAGAAAUGUUUCUUACUGGUUUUUUUUAAGGGCUGCACCUGUGGCAUAUGGAGGUUCCCAGGCUGGGGUCCAAUCAGGCCUACCCCACAGCCACAGCAACACAGGAUCCGAGCCGCAUCUGUGACCUACACCACAGCUCACGGCAACACUGGAUCCGUAACCCACUGAGCAAGGCCAGGGAUCGAACCCGCAUCCUCAUGGAUACUAGUUGGAUUCGUUUCCUUUGAGCCACAAUGGGAACUCCUCAGGUAUUUCUAAACAGGUUUCAGCUUCUGCUUUUUGAUAGAUUCAGAUUGAGUACUUUGUGUGAGCUCUUGAAUGGCCUAGAGAAUAUAUAUUCUGAAAUGAUUUCUUUAAUGAACAGGGUUUUGUGGGAAAACUGGAUGUAUCUGGUGAUGGAGCAGCCACUUUAAAAAAAUUCGUGGAUGGGGUGGGAUUGCAGAAAGAACAACACAUGUGAAAUUUAUUCACCACAUGAUGCAUAAGAGAAGUUCUUGAAGCAGCGACUUGAAGCCAGAAGCACAUAGGGGCUCAGCCGACCUUUACACAAGUAGUAAAUCUUUACAGUGCUUUGUAAUGAGAUGGGGAGAAACUGAACAUACUUGGCAAGGCACAGAGGUUUGCUGGUUAUCUUGAGACAGAAUUGAAAGCAUGGCCUAUUUGGAGGUGAAUUGAGGGUUUUCUUUGACGUAAGGGCAAGGGGUCUAAAUUUGCUGACCUUUUCUGCCAUGAGUGGCUGUCAGUAGAAAGCUACCUAGCAAAUUCAGUAUUUUUGAGAAAAUAAACACUUGACCUGCCCUCUCAAGGACUUUUUAACAAUGAACAGAAAAUUGCUUUUUGAAAGAAACUCUUGCCAUAGGGCUUUGAAAGUGAUGUUUCUAGAGUUGUCUCCACUAUUUGUCUUGUUAAGAGUGAUGCAAAUAGUCAUCUUACUGCGCACUUGAACUUGGAAGUGAAACGUUCAGCCUGUUUAACAACUUCCUGUUGUAACACUUAGUUUUGAACUCAUUUUUUACAAAUACAGGGAUGUUGGGAGUUCCCUCUGUGGUGCCCGGGUUAAGGAUCUGGCGUUGCCACAGCUGUGGCUUGGGUCGCAGCUUCGGCUUGGAUUCAGUCCUUGGCCC